AGCGAACGUUAGCGGCGGGCUUAACACAUGCAAGUCGAGCGAGAAAGUGGCUUCGGCCAUCAGUAAAGCGGCGGACGGGUGAGUAACACGUAGGUAAUCUUCCUUCGAGCGGGGGACAACGUUCCGAAAGGGACGCUAAUACCGCAUACGUUUCUCGGGACCUCGGUCCUGGGAAGGAAAGCUAGGUCGCAAGAUCCGGCACUCGAUGAGGAGCCUGCGUCGCAUCAGCUAAGUUGGUGGGGAAUGGCCUACCAAGGCGAAGACGCGUAGCUGGUCUGAGAGGAUGAUCAGCCACACUGAAACUGAGACACGGUUCAGACUCCUACGGGAGGCAGCAGUGGGGAAUAUUGGACAAUGGGCGCAAGCCUGAUCCAGCCACGCCGCGUGAGUGAUGAAGGCC
rnacentral:rRNA from 1 species